rnacentral:rRNA from 1 species
UUCCUACGGGACGCAGCAGUGAGGAAUAUUGGUCAAUGGGCGGGAGCCUGAACCAGCCAAGUCGCGUGAGGGAAGACGGUCCUAUGGAUUGUAAACCUCUUUAGGCGGGGAGCAAUGCCGGGCACGCGUGCCCGGAGGGAGAGUACCCGCAGAAUAAGCAUCGGCUAACUCCGCGCCAGCAGCCGCGGUAAUACGGAGGAUGCGAGCGUUAUCCGGAUUUAUUGGGUUUAAAGGGUGCGCAGGCGGAAGAUCAAGUCAGCGGUAAAAUUGAGAGGCUCAACCUCUUCGAGCCGUUGAAACUGGUU